AAAUUGAAGAGUUUGAUCAUGGCUCAGAUUGAACGCUGGCGGCAGGCCUAACACAUGCAAGUCGAACGGUAACAGGAAGCAGCUUGCUGCUUUGCUGACGAGUGGCGGACGGGUGAGUAAUGUCUGGGAAACUGCCUGAUGGAGGGGGAUAACUACUGGAAACGGUAGCUAAUACCGCAUAACGUCGCAAGACCAAAGAGGGGGACCUUCGGGCCUCUUGCCAUCGGAUGUGCCCAGAUGGGAUUAGCUAGUAGGUGGGGUAAAGGCUCACCUAGGCGACGAUCCCUAGCUGGUCUGAGAGGAUGACCAGCCACACUGGAACUGAGACACGGUCCAGACUCCUACGGGAGGCAGCAGUGGGGAAUAUUGCACAAUGGGCGCAAGCCUGAUG
rnacentral:rRNA from 1 species